rnacentral:misc_RNA from 1 species
GAAAUGCGAUAAGUAAUGCGAAUUGCAGAAUCCGUGAGUCAUCGAAUCUUUGAACGCAUAUUGCGCCCUUUGGUAUUCCGAAGGGCAUGCCUGUUCGAGCGUCAUUAUCACCCCUCAAGCCCCGGCUUGGUGUUGGGCUUAGUUACGGAUCACCUAUAACUGGCCUCAAAGAUAGUGACGGCGCCCUAGGGGGAACCGGUACGAGGAGCUUCCAGUUAAGCAUGUACGCGGGACGACCCUGCGGGCGACGGUCUUUUCAUUUCUCCAAAGUGUUGACCUCGGAUCAGGUAAGAAUACCCGCUGAACUUAA